GGCACGGGGAUAAGAUUCGGUCUGUUCGUUCAUUAACAGUAAUCAGUUACGAAGCGUCGAAGAAAGCGGAAUUCGCGGGUUUAUUGGGAAUGUGCGAAGAAUCCUGAAUUCCCUGCAAAUAGGGAAAGUGAAAUUGAAAUCAUACGCUGUUACUCCACUUGUCGGUGCUCCUUUGCGUUGUGAGAUUAAACGAUUACACUUCGCGGAAAUUUACCGUAGUCGAGCAAUUUUGCCAUGGAUUCACGUGAUUACCGUAAGGAUGCAACAUCUUUUUAUUGGGGAUCAUUAAUCGUUUAAAUAUAAAUACGAGGUGAACAGGUACGAUACUUAUUUAUUACAUGUUUAUUGCUACCUGAGAGGAAGGUUACGUCACAAUUCAUUCUAAUACGUCAGUUUAUUACAAUUUUAAUUCAAGAAACUGUUUCUCUAAAAGAAGCAGUAUUUGCAUACAAAUUUUUAAUGGUAUACCGGAUGUUUAUUCAUGUUAUUCAAAUAUGUAGUCCCAAUCUCACUGCUCAAGGAACAAUUUUAGCGCCAUGGUCGUUCGAAACGCGCUAACAGGCCGGGCCGUCCAAGCUCAUUACGCGGAAUGACAAGUUUGAAUGACAGCGAUAGUGCGCUUUAACGCGUGCCACUCAAUGAUUCUUUCAACGUUUAAUGGACAAUGGAACACGGUGUGGUGACGAUGUCGAGUGCGGAAAAGCGAUGAAAGCGUCGACUGGUCGAUCGAUUAAUAGAUAUCACGCAUUUUGAAGGCUCUGCCCAUCGGAUCGAGCGCUUGGUCGAACCAGUGGACGGUUUGAAAAAUGUUUGCGUAAUUUCUUUCCGGUUACCGGCACCAACGAAGCGCGCCUCGCGCAACUACUCUGGAAUACCAUUUCAAUUCAUUUAAUGCGAUUACGUGCGCGCUCAUCGCUCUCUCCACGUGUUACACGUCGACUUUAUAAUAUUAUUCGGACUGGUGCAACUGGUGGCCGUUCACGCGCUCGUCCAUACAAUCGUGCACGCACCGCUGCCGCGACGUGUUUACACGUGGUUUCCUGCUAUACGAGCCCACUCCGCUGGCGAGCAUGAAGAGAAGUCGACAAGCUAAUCAGAGUACGACGUUCGUGCGUAACUAUCAGCUCGUGCUCCGUAAAAACCGUGAAGCGCCGACGGUGAUCUCGAUUGGCGCCGUUAUUCAUCGGCUUGUUGUAACAUGUUGCGAUAUGUCGGCGAACUAGAGUCUAGUUAAUGACGCGGAUAUUAACGGGAAUCAACUUCCGAUGAAAUCGCUCUCUGUACGCGAUUUUUCCUUUUGCUCGAAACGGAGUAAAUCUCUCAAUCAGUGCACGUGAAUGGUUAGCAGGAAUUUAAUCGUUUGAUAGAAAUAAUGUACGUAUUUAUAGAGGACGAAUAUUUUUAAAUAAGUCGACCUUGCUGUUAGGGUAGCUUCACAAUGGAACGAAAUCUUAUUGUACUUUAUCCUUGUAAAAAAAGUUGAGGAACGCGUUUAACAUUUACCAGUGUGUCUGUGUGAAAUUUUAAUCCCUUAUGUGCUGUUCGUGAAUUAGAAUUAAUUUUAACGUUAUUGCAAAAAUGAGUGCAACAGUGAACAUCGAAAGUACAUAUUGCAGAACGUGCUCCAAAUGUAGAAAAUAUCAAACUGCCGCAAAAGUGUUUGGAUCUUCACACUGUGCAUAAAAAGAACUAUAAAAAAAAUGCUUUUUGUUAAAAAAAAAAAAAAAUGUCUAAGAAUAUUUGUACAAUUAUUUUGAACAUAGCGUGACACUAAAGCCUCAUGCGCAGAAUCCGGAUUUUAAUACUCUGGAUUCGUCUUUAGGUGAAUGUGUGUGGAACCGAGUGCAAUCAGCACCGGUGAAUGAUGAUGGAGAAUUACAAUAGCGAAUAGAAAAUGUAUGUCAAGUGAUUCGAAGGAAGCCAGGAAUUUUCGACACAACACGCAAUUCAGUAAUUCGAAGAUGCAGAACACGUGUGAAAAUGAAAGGAGGACACAUAAACCAUUUUGUAGGCAUCAAAAGAAGAUUACGGAGAGAUAAUCUUUCGUUUAGAAAUCGUGUAUAGCGAACAGAAGCAAACAGCCAAUUGUGUUAUCAAAACUACCCUCGCUCCAAAUGUGAAGACUGACCGUGGAAUCUGGGACCAUCUGACUCCUAGUUCAAAGAAUAAUAAUAAUAAUGUACAAACAAGGAGAAAAUAUUUAUUUACGUAAUUAGACAACUAUUAUGAUUUAUUUAUUAUAAAUUUACAAAAUGCAUGAAUUUAAAAACUUGCAUUUUUAUAAAAUAAUUGCAGAAAAAACGAAAUGCUUCAGUGUAAAAUCAUUCAAUUACCAGUUCAAUAUUUAUAGCGUAUAACACCGAAACGAUUUACCCAGUUACUCUAUGGUAUAACGUUUUCAUGAUAUUAUAAGAUACAUAGAGAAAGAUGAAGAUAUUAGAAGAACGAUGAUUUACGAGGAAUAAGGAGAAAAAUAUAGUGAAAGUAGAAAACAGUACCUGAGUUUGCGCAGUCGGGAAUCGCUAAACGUGUAAUGACAUUGACUAAAUAGGAUCGGAAGCAUCAUUGGAAUAUUUAUUGAAGACGGCGCGGCGUACGUAGGAAAUGGUGAGAAAGCUUGGAAAAGUGAAAGUUCGGAAACAUGCCAUUUGAUUAAAUGAUACAGGAGAUACAUGUGUGGAUGUCAGUGUCGUAACUGUUAUUGGAUUUAAGUGACACUUCAUAAUUCUUCAGUUCGUGAUAUACAAGAUGUGCAACAUUUAUCCGCUAACUUGUAUUUUAUAUUGGCCACUAUUUUAACGCAGUUUUUCUUCUAGAUUACAUUAAUUGAAAAUGGUGUUAGUCAUCGAUACAUAAAGUAUAUACAUAUAAUAAUUCUCAAUGAAAUUGAGAAAGUUCUCUGAUCUAGACAAAUCGAUCCUUUUUCCUUGCAUUUUCCUGCAGCGUUAUAAACACAUUUUUUAAUGACUAGAUUGAAAUUCAAUAAAUUAAUAUCUGACACAUACUAUUUCACGUCAUUACUGAAGUACAUUAUUUUAAACACUUACUAAGCUGAGUAAUACAAUUUAAUGUUAAUGAUCCUUCAUUAGGUAACGCGUACUUUCUCUGUGAAUUCUCACAUGUCCUUGAAAUGGCACAUGGUCAUAUCAAGAAUACAUCAUGAACUGGUUUUAGUUAAACUGGGUAUAGUUUACGAUUCGACAAUGACAUAAUGGUGCGUCAUAUUUAUUUUUUUAAAAAAAGUUCAAAGUAGUAAUGAAAUACAUAUUAUAUUUCAUAACUGUUGGAAUAUCGUUGAUCUUGAAUUGUUUUGCUCGAGAAAAUAUAAUCAGAUGCAUUGGAAACUAGAACACUUCUUAACGGUAGACUU